ensembl:lincRNA
CGCACCUUUCUGUCUCAGUCGUCUGAAAUGGUACAUCGAACCAUACUCGAAGCGUGCGCCCAGCGGAGUGUCCGGCUCAUUCCUGGGCAGAAAUAAGUCCCGAGGUGACCUGUCCCCCCCAGCUGUCUCGAGCUGCUCGUGCAGACUCGUGGGCUUCGUGAGUGGGGCAGAAACCACAAGCACGCCUCUGGACGGGAUGGGCAAAUACGGUAUGUUGCAAUGCGAACCUCUUAACAGGAGCACAAGAACGGGUGUUUCUCCUCACUAACACAGGAGGGGGACGUAAAAAGUAAAUGAAAUAGAUUUGGAAAUUGAGGGAAGAAAACUAAAAAAAAAAAACUCGCGUGGUUAUUUAAUGAUUGUAUCAUGAAGGCGGGCCAAAGUUUAGCUUCCCUAACAUGUUGGGAGGCGGAGUUUAGUAAUUUCACUCUUUUUGUUUGGGACGAGACAUAACAUGCGCUUGUAGCAACUUAAGUGUAGAACUUAAGAGUCUUCCAGCACUUCUCACAGCUUAAUACCCACUCGUAUGUGGUUUUCAAACUUCGCCGUAAGAAAAGCUUACAGUCCGAAACAGUUGUGGAAGAGCAGAAGGAGGAGUUUGAGCAGAAGCAGGGAAGUCAGCCUGAGUCCCUUGUUGGGAGGACGAGGGAGCUGGCCGAGUGAUGAUCGCUGCUCUCUGAGUCGGCACAUUCCCACAGACAUGAUCAUCCGGCUGGGAAGACUGACGCCGGGAUACUUCCGCCUCUUGCAGAGACAGGUUGCUGGAGAAGUCCAAAUGCAGCCGAAGGACCGCAUGGUCAACCAGAUAGCCAUGAUGUUAGCCAUAAUGGGGCUGGGGCUGUCCUACUACAGCACCCGCAGGAUGACGGAGGUGGUCGCCACGGAGCCGGGAGACUGAGGGGACCAGGAGCUGGAGGAGCUGACGCAGGAAGAACACAGACGGGGAGAUGCCACAUCCACACAUGUGCAGCGCCAACACAUGUGCUGCAAAAUGGGUCACACAGGGCAGUAUGGCACAGAUCUGCUGUCAGGACGGGGCACAGUUCCAAAUCCCCUGAUCUGGGCUCUGUUGUAUUCCCAAAUCUAGGUUUGUAAUCCCAGCAUUUUAGUAUGACGGCCUGAUUUUCAGUCUUUGCCAAGCUGUGUUAAAAUUGUCAGUGUUGCAGAUCCAGAUGUGAAAGUGGAAUAGAUAUACAAGUUUAACAUACAGGCUGCGGCAGUGCAAUCUGCAUCUGAGUUACUUUGGCCAGUAAGUCAUUAAGUGAUCAUGCAUCUAAACAUCUAAGCACUUUCAAACUGAAAACCAGGCCUACAACCACACAAAAGAAACAUAUCAUCUCCACGUGGUGUUUUUUUUAAAUUGGCUUUAUUUUCCUAAUUCAAAUCAGGUCAUUUCUUUAUUAGAAAGCAGGGUAGAAACCUCAUAUUUGAGAUUUAACAGUGUAUCGAUGAAACUGUUUAUCUCUGUGAAUACUCCAGCGCAGUCAAUUCUACAGUACUGUUGGGAGGCAUUUUUUCAAGACUAUUACAACACAUUUAAGAAUUUUGAAAGUUGUUUGUAAUGUUUUAGGGUUCAAGAGGGAUUCAGUCAAAAUAUAUUUUGUUAUAAUGCAUUGUGGAGUAAAAUUAAAGAUCUUGUACAAUAAUGUACAAUCUAGAUGUGUAAAAACCUGUGACACUUCACAGUGCAUUGUGACUCUUUGGUUUUGUAACAGGGAUUUAGGUUGUGGUAUAAAUGUAUAGAUACAGUAGUUGCUUAGAACUUUAAGAACAAUAGUGACCAAUGUUUGUUCAAGUAAUAGAGUUUGCAAGCAGUAUGUACAACACUGUGAAAAUGAUGGAGGUAUGAUCUGGAAGAGAGAGGCUACUGUUUAAGUUAAAUUGUAGUCUGGAGCAGAUUUCUGGAAUCAGAAUCCUACAAAAUGUUAUGAAAAGGGUUUAUUCCUCCUAAAAUUUUAGAGGUAUACUUGUAUUACUUUAGGAAGCCUAUGCACAGCCACAAAAACACUGUGCCAUUUCAGCUUGCGGAUAUUGAACCACUUCCUGUCCUGAAGGCCAGACUCUUAUGCCUGUUCCUGUCCAUUACGGCCAGGCUGUGGUACACAACAGGAAUUUGCGAGACCUAGUAGUUUUAAUCAGACGUAACUCCAUUCAAAGUGGGGAGUGCAAACAAAAUGUGAACCUGGUGGCUUAGAAGAAAGAACCAUGAAAGCAGAUAAAACUGAAUAUGUUUUGUAAAGGAUGCUGUGGUUUUCAAGAGCAUUUUUUAUGAUCAUAUUGGUAAGGUAAAUCUGAAGGCUAAUGCUGGUAUUAGCUCUGUACUACCAUGGAUAGAGGAAAUAAGAACCAAAUAUGGGAAGUAAAAGGAAGACAGACAGGUGAUCCAAUUCUAAAUGGAAACAUUUUAAAUAUCCUCUCUCUAUUACAUGUGGAUCGUAAUUUUGAUGGUUCAAAUUUUGAUGAUUUUUUUUUCAAAUUAAGGAAUUCAGAAGCAGACCAUUUCAUCAGUGAGAAAAGAUUGCAUAUCGGACAUUUAGCUGUGAAAAAUAAAGAACUGACAGACAAAAUGCUGUCAUGUCAGCUGUGCUCCAUUUUGGUAUUUUGGCAUAGUCAGGGCCUACUUCUCUUUGUUUUGAAAAUUCCCAGUGUGCUUCUGGGCUGUUAUUUUAGGAAGACCCAGCAGCGAAAGAGGUGAUAGGAUGGGAAAGUGACAGGAAGGCAACCCGUGAGGUUGUGUGUUUUCAGCACAGAUCAUGUCUGGAGCCAGAGGCCAGAGAGGGGAGGGGGGAGGACUGGCCUGGAAGAUGUCUUUGUUUUUAUCCAGCUCUGAGAGCGCACGUUUUCAGUCUGCGGAUGUGAUGCUCUGUGACAGGCGCAGUCCUCAUUCGGGGAAAAAACGUGCCGUACUCUGCCGCCCAGUCUGUCUCGCCUAGUUACAGAUCACUGGGCAAAUCAAAUCUCUCUGGGAAUGUGACCGCAGCAGUAUUAGUGGGUAAGUUACAUAAGCCACCCAGAAAGCCAUAGAUACAAGGAAAUGAAAACAGUUCUCAAAAGUAGGACACUACCGAACUGCUGUUGACUUAUCAUUGCGGAUUUUAUUUUUCAAUAGUAAAGAAAAAAGGGAUUCACUGUUAACAAUAACAAGCAAAUAUAAUGAGAUUGAAGCUUACCAAGGUGCUGAAUAUCAAAGUCAACAUACUGUACAAUGCAGUCAAUCUGAAUUUUGAUAAGUACAUCACGCUUAAACCUUUAUAUUAUUAACCAUUAAAGAUGGAACCAGAAAAGGGUGUGUUUUUGGGGGAGGAUACUGUUUUGAACAGAAUGCUGGAAGUGCCAAUCUAAAAAAACAAAACAAAAGCAAGAUUUCCACAGCCAGACCCAUUGAAGACCAAGGCUGAAGUGUGGAUUUCGAAAAUAUUUUGCAACAUAACUAAGCAUGAGUACUUUAUGAGCAAUUGUACCUUAUUACAAAUGUGCAGAAGUUCAGAGGGGAGUUGCCAUGUUCAGGCUUUUAAUUUUUCUGUCAUAAUUUUUAUUACAUGUUCAGCUGAGCCAAAGUCAAGAAAAGAGGGAACUCAAUUUACUGCAAAGUUUGUACGUUACAGGGUAGGAUGCGACACUGUGAAUAUUCUUUGGAGUGUUCUCCUGAUGCUGUGUUUAUGUGGCUGUGCUGUGAAAACUGCAGUCACUUUAGAGUCUGGUGCCUGAGCCUAGUGAAAUCACUGACACGGUGAGUUGUGCUUGUAUUGCUGCUACACGUGCAAUAAAUGUAUUUAACUUCACAGACUGCAGUGGUGGGUUUUUUUUUUUUGCUCUUCACUAUACGUAUCCACUUGCUUUCAUGCUGAAAAAGGAGUCUUAAUCAAAAGGCCAGGUCUAUAGUCCCAGCAAAUUCAGACAUGAAAAACAUUCAAAGCAUCUUUUUUAAUUCUGAUGAGGUGUGGUCUUUUUGUCAAGAGGAUAUUGGCAUGUUUUCUUGUAUCAUUACCUCUGCUGGUCCAGGGGGAGCACAAGGUUCUGUUUUUACAUUAAUCUUGUAAUGAAUGAACUAGAUGGAUAAUUUAAAAUUUAAAAGUCCCCACCUUUCACAGAUGUGUGCCUACUAAGGAGCUCCAGUUGCCUGAGGAGCCUGCAAGGAGAGAAUUGGUAUGAAGGAUCAAUAACAGCCUGAAUUCUGGAUUGACAUUGGUCAAACAGAAUGACUCUUAAACCUUGACUUCAAACAUGAAUAAAUCACUAAUCACAAAUCACAGUGCUUCUGUGCUGCACACUGUUGAUAUUUAUGUUUCACAAAGAUUAAAGUAGAAAUCUGGUUGAGAUGAGUGUAAGUCUUGGAUCCUGCAAUAGAAUGGUGUAGAUUGUUUCCAGUGAACAGCAGCAUAAAGUGCCUUAGAUUACACUCCUCCAUGAUUCGCCCUUAAUUAUGAUGCCAGGGAGGCAUGAAGUUACAUUUCCUGUUUGACACUUAUGCUCUGCUUGUUUGUGGGAAUUUCACGAAACAGCUUAACAACUUAGUUAAGGGAUACAAAUACAAAAUACAAAUAUACAAAUACAAAAUGGUAUUUUAAUUCCAAAUAUUGUACAUCUUUAUGCAACCAAAGGCCACAGAUGAUGUUCUUAAAUGUCAUACUUAAAAAUGUGCUCUAGUAGGUACAACUAUGUGCGUUUCCUCUCUCUUCAGGAUAAUUUUCCUUUUUCAUUCCGAUUUUCAACAGCAGUUUAUUUUAUUCUCUGAUAUCAAGGUGAAGGUCAGUUUAAAUCUUUUUUUAUGUCCCUAAUGAUAUUUUGCUUUGGCACUGUGACUCUUAAGGGAUUCAUAUUUGUUUCUAUUAAAGAUCUCCAAAUUAAGGGCAUUCCCCCCCAGGGUAUUACAAGAAAAAAGAAUAUUGCUGUUUUUAAAAUUUAUUAAAAUUUGUGCAAUUCUUAAAGUGACUUUAAUAAACAUUUACUAUCACUGAAA